rnacentral:lncRNA from 1 species
UAUGGCAGCUGUCUUGUAGGGCACGAAGCCAACUAUUCAGGUGGAAAUGUCAUUAGGAGUCCUGGACUCUCCGUGGGUUGAGCCUGUGUUCGGAACCCCAAGCUUGUCUCUGGUAGGGGAGGGUUCCAGCUAGCUGUUGGGGGCAGGGAACCACUAGGGAUUUGCAGAGAGGACCCCUUAUG